CAGUAGCCGCGGUAACACAGAGGGUGCGAGCGUUAAUCGGAUUUACUGGGCGUAAAGCGUGCGUAGGCGGCUUUUUAAGUCGGAUGUGAAAUCCCUGAGCUUAACUUAGGAAUUGCAUUCGAUACUGGGAAGCUAGAGUAUGGGAGAGGAUGGUAGAAUUCCAGGUGUAGCGGUGAAAUGCGUAGAGAUCUGGAGGAAUACCGAUGGCGAAGGCAGCCAUCAGGCCUAAUACUGACGCUGAGGUACGAAAGCAUGGGGAGCAAACAGGAUUAGAUACCCGCGUAGUCCCUGUCUCUUAUAC
rnacentral:rRNA from 1 species